GACGAACGCUGGCGGCGUGCUUAACACAUGCAAGUCGAACGGAAAGGCCCUGCUUUUGUGGGGUGCUCGAGUGGCGAAAAGGUGAGUAAAACGUGAGUAUCCUGCCCUUGACUUUGGGAUAACUUCAGGAAACAGGGGCUCAUACCGGACAGAAGCUCCUGCUGCAUGGUGGGGUUUGGAAAGAUUCGGAGGUUGGGGAUGGACGCGGGGCUUAUCAGCUUGUUGGUGGGGUAGUGGCUUACCAAGGCUUUGACGGGUAGCCGGCCUGGGAGGGUGACCGGCCACAGUGGGACUGAGGUACGACCCGGACUGCUACGGGAGGCAUCAGUGGGGAAUAGUGCACAAUGGGCGGAAGCCUGAUGCAGCAACGCCGCGUGCGAGAUGACUGCCUUCGGGUUGUAAACCGCGUGCGCCUGUGACGAAGCGUGAGUGACGGUAAUGGAUAAAGAAGCACCGGCUAACUACGUG
rnacentral:rRNA from 1 species